rnacentral:rRNA from 1 species
AGCAGGGAAUAUUGCGCAAUGGACGAAAGUCCGACGCAGCGACGCCGCGUGGGUGAAGAAGGCCUUCGGGUUGUAAAGCCCUUUUCUGGGGGAAGAGCAAGGACGGUACCCCAGGAAUAAGUGUCGGCUAACUACGUGCCAGCAGCCGCGGUAAUACGUAGGACACGAGCGUUAUCCGGAUUUACUGGGCGUAAAGCGCCUGUAGGUGGACGAACAAGUCGGCUGUGAAAGCCCUGGGCUUAACCCGGGGAGGCCAGGCGAUACUGUUCGACUUGAGGGUGACAGAGGGGAGUGGAAUUCCCGGUGUAGCGGUAAAAUGCGCAGAUAUCGGGAGGAACACCAGUGGCGAAGGCGGCUCCCUGGGUCAUACCUGACACUGAGAGGCUAAAGCUAGGGGAGCGAACAGGAUUAGAGACCCUGGUAGUCCUAGCCCUAAACGCUGGAUGCUAGGUGUGGGAUCGAGAGGUUCCAUGCCACAGCUAACGCGAUAAGCAUCCCGCCUGGGGACUACGGCCGCAAGGCUAAAACUCAAACGAAUUGACGGGACCCCGCACAAGCAGCGGAGCGUGUGGUUUAAUUCGAUGCUACACGAAGAACCUUACCUGGGUUUGACAUGGAGGUGGUAGGGAGCCGAAAGGUGACCGACUCUUCGGAGAGCCUUCACAAGUGCUGCAUGGCUGUCGUCAGCUCGUGCCGUGAGGUGUCGGGUUAAGUCCCGUAACGAGCGCAACCCUUGUCCACAGUUACAAGUGUCUGUGGAGACUGCCGGCGAUAAGCCGGAGGAAGGUGGGGAUGACGUCAAGUCAGCAUGGCCUUUAUGUCCAGGGCUACACACACGCUACAAUGGGCGGUACAAUGGGCAGCGAAGCCGCGAGGCAGAGCGAAUCCCAGCAAAGCCGUUCGUAGUUCGGAUUGCAGGCUGCAACCCGCCUGCAUGAAGCUGGAGUUGCUAGUAACCGCGCGUCAGCCAUAGUGCGGUGAAUACGUUCCCGGGGUUUGUACACACCGCCCGUCACGUCAUGGGAGUCGGUAACGCCUGAAGCCGGUAGCCUAACCGCAAGGGAGGCGCCGUCGAAGGUGGGGCUGGCGACUGGGACG